GACGAACGCUGGCGGCGUGCUUAACACAUGCAAGUCGAACGGAAAGGCCUGCUUUCCCUUGUGGAUUGCGGGUACUCGAGUGGCGAACGGGUGAGUAACACGUGAGUGAUCUGCCCCCAACUUGGGUAUAAGCCUGGGAAACUGGGUCUAAUUCCCGAUAGGACUGCAGGGUGGUGCCUGUGGUGGAAAACGAUUUUCUAGUGGUUGGGGAUGAGCUCGCGGCCUAUCAGCUUGUUGGUGGGGUAAUGGCCUACCAAGGCGGCGACGGGUAGCCGGCCUGAGAGGGUGGACGGCCACAGUGGGACUGAGAUACGGCCCAGGCUCCUACGGGAGGCAGCAGUGGGGAAUAUUGCACAAUGGGCGGAAGCCUGAUGCAGCGACGCCGCGUGGGGGAUGACGGCCUUCGGGUUGUAAACUCCUUUCGACCGCGAGGAAGCCACCUGGUUGGAAGGGUGGUGACGGUAGUGGUAGAAGAAGCACCGGCUAACUACGUG
rnacentral:rRNA from 1 species